CGUUAGAUACAUACAGACCGGUGCCGGGAUCGCACGCGCAGUAUAACGCAGCAUAACGUACGAGUCGUCGCGUCGAUACGUUUGAAAGAAAAAAUUCGGUCCAUGCACCCGCCGGAUGCAAACCCGCUCUCGGUCAUCGGGUUAUCGAGUGCAGUUUUAAAAAUUAAAAAGAUAAGCCAAUAUUUUGCAAUGGUGGACAAACAGUGUGUCGCCGGGCCCGUAAAGGCUUACAUCAUGAGUGACCUGCUGAAGAAGGUCGAUUUUGACACGAAAAAUGACUUCGUCAAAGUCGCCGUCGCCAUUGCCGGGUUCUACAUGGGAAUAUUUUAUCUGGAGUACGUAGACGCAGAAUACAGCCUGUGGCUAACCUGGUUCCUGACGCCAGUCAUCGUCACCUUCCUACUGCCGGCCGUCAUCAUCAUCCUCAUAUACAUCAGCAGCAUCAUAUUCCACCUUUACAGGCUAUACAGGUUACGAGUGGUGGCCGGCGUUCAAAAUGACUGGAGGCACGCAGCGAGAUUGGCAGUGUGCGCGCUAUGGGACGCACACGGCUGGCUGUGGCAUGGUUACGACGUCCGAGGCCUAGAGAACAUCCCAGACGGGCCGUUCCUUGUGAUAUACUACCACGGCGCGCUGCCCAUCGACAUGUAUUACUUCAUCGCGCACAUGAUGCUGUUCAAGCGACGGCUCGUGCACACAGUAGCGGACCGGUUUUGCUUCAAGAUACCUGGCUGGAAAUCACUCCUGGAAGGCUUGUGCGUGAUUCCGGGAACGGUUCAGACGUGUGCGAGCGUGCUUCGCUCCGGGAGCCCACUAGCUAUAUCCCCGGGCGGCGUCUACGAGGCGCAGUUUGGAGACCACUAUUAUAGGUUGCACUGGAAGUCCAGGAUAGGAUUCGCUAAAGUCGCACAGGAGGCUAAAGUGCCAAUCGUCCCGAUGUUCACUCAGAACGUCCGCGAAGCUUUCCGCACAGUCGGGUGGUUACGCGGCGUGUGUCUACGAGUUUACGCCGCGACACGCGUGCCGCUAGCGCCGGUUUAUGGGGGAUUCCCCGUUAAGUUGGUCACACACCUCGGCCCGCCCAUACCGCACGAUCCCCGCCUAACGCCCGCCCAGCUCCAGCAGAAGGUAGCUAUAUUGCCGGACACUUUAACAGUACUGCCGGACACUGACAAUACUGCGGACACUUCUAGAAACCUAGCAUAUUGACGGACACUUCCGGACACUAGCAAUAAUGAUGGACAUUUUCGGACACUUCGGCAAUACUGCCGGACAUUUGACAAGUAGCAUGUAGUAACAUUUUUUUAAGCUGCAACACUCCUUCCACGUCAAGCUGGUGACGCAUCUCGGCCCGCCCAUACCGCACGAUCCCCGCCUAACGCCCGCCCAGCUGCAGCAGAAGGUGGCAGAAGCUAUUGAAAAACUGAUCGACGAGCACCAGAGAGUGCCCGGCAACAUCCUCCUCGCCCUCACGGAGCGCGUCUACGAGAUGCCCAAGCGGAGGGCGAAGCCACGCGACGUCCCCAACGGAAAAUGCCAAAACGGCGCCACCUCCAGUGACAAAUGUGACAGUGACGAAGCCAAAGUUUCAUAACUCCCGCCACUUUUUUGACGUAACUGUAAAAAACUUUUUAAAAGUAUCAACGGCCAUGUAAAAAUUCAGUAUUUCCCCGUGCAAAUACUCUGUUUUUACACAUCUUGGGUUCAAACCCAUUUCUGUUUCGGGCUCGCCCGUCCGCCAUUUUGUUUAAUCGCUAUCAAAUUCGGAAUUACUCAAUUUAAUAUAGAAUCAUUGAUUUUUGUUCUUGGCUCUAGAGCAUUGGUUCCCAAAGUGGUGGGCACGCCCCCCUGGGGAGGCGCAAAGACCUUUAAAGGGGGGCGCGGACCAUCUGUGUACUUAAGUAUAAAAAACCUGCGACCGCUGAGAGAAUGCAUUCCAGACAGCUCGAUACGACCAAAAUCUUGACUGGAGGAGGGGGGCCGCGAAAUUUUUUGUAUGGUCGAAAGGGGGCGCGUCUCAAAUAAGUUUGGGAACCAAUGCUCUAGCUAGAGUAUACGUUACCUAAUAAAGUUACUUUUUGGCCUUGAGUUAGUACAAAGAUACUUCUAAAAUUAAGCAUUUGAAAUAUACUCAGCUUAUUCUAUUAAUUAGGUACGCAACAAAACUGAAACGUCGCAAUCUUAACGUAUUACAAGUGCUCAUAAUGUUUGUAUUUAAUUAUUUAAAUAAAGAACACCAUUAAAAUAAGUUAUAAAACAACUGAAUAACAGGACCGAUUUUCAUAAAUAAGUUAUAUAAAAGUUUGCCAAUUGGGUGUUGAUAACGAUGAUGGAUGACAUAACAUUUUACUAUAUGUUUGCAGUUUAUGUAUUCCAUUUUAAAAAUAUAGCAUAAACGUUAAAAAUCAUAUAUUUAACGUAUUUACGAGAUUUAGUUGCAUUUAUAGAAACAAAAAGUUCAAAAGCGAUCCAAAAUAUAAAAACGCAUCAGUACAAAACUAUGUACAGAUCGUUAUUAAAGGUAUUAAAUACUUUUUAAACCUUGAACUAGAAUAGAGAAAUAUCUUGUUGAUGUUGGAAACACCAGGUAAAGGGUUAUUUAAGAAAACGUAAUUUAAUACAUAAAUUAUGUUAUGUAUUUGAGUAAGCAGCGUGAUUUUACUAAAAUCAAGUUUUAUUGGCAAAUCAUGAGACACUCGAGUGUUUUGCACGAUCAUAUUAAGUUCUCUCACAAACUAUUAUAAGUUAUUAUUAGUAUCUAAAAUCUAUUUAUUAAUCUAAAAUUAUUUAUUUUUGUUUGUAUUUAUUCAAGUUUACGAAAAAUACCUAUGCUACUUAAUCAUGUGCUUUUAGAUAAACUCAAAUUAGUUAAAUUAGAUGAUGUAGGUGCAAAACACUCCUGUAAUAAUUUUAAUAUCGAAUUUAUAUUAUUAUUUUAUAUUUUUAGGAUUUGCUUUUAAUUUUAUUCGACAUAUCAAACAAUUAUGAAUUUUGUGAUAGUUUAAAGACAUUAUUUGUAUAAAAAUAAAAAUAUGCAUUUUGUGUCAAAUUUUUUUCGCAGUUUGUGUAACUAAAUUAUAUUUAUAAUCAACAAGGACGUGGUUCGAAGUAUGUAUGUGUAUGUUUAUACAUGAUUAACUAUUAAUCCGACACUAGAAAUAAUUUUACAAUUUCUAUGUUUAGUGCUUAGAUAUUUGAGAGAAAAGUCUAAUAUACGUUCAGACUAGCGGUAUAAAAUUUACAUUGACCAGUUUGGGAAUUAUUUCACUGGUUUGCCACUUUUGCUUCCAGUGAGAACAUAGACGACUUUUAAUCGAUCAUACAAAAGGGCCCGGUUAUCGAUAAGGCAGAUGUAGCCACUCGGAAAAGUAUGAAAAUGUGUUAUAAAUAGAAAAAAAUAAAGGUAAUAGAGUCUCAGAUGUACUUUGCCUUGGGUUUAAUCGGGCCCUGUGUAUCAAUGUCUUCUGACAUAAUGGUGACGUAUGAAUUUGUGUCUUGUAUAUUUGUAUUAAAAUUCAAGUUUGUUCAUCAUUAUGUUAGAGGUAUUGAUGAUUUUCGAUUGCCUUUCUCUAAGUCUACACUUCCUAGUGUGAGGUAAUAUUAGCGUAUGUAUUUAACAUAAGUUAGCAGUAGUGCUGGCGCUACUAUAUGUAAGCACUAAUAUAAAAUAUUGUGCUUAUUUACUUUUGGAUGUGUCAUGUGUAGAAUGAGGACUUAAUACACUCUGGACAAUCUUGUUAGUUGCACUUCUAAAGAAGCACUGAAUUUGGGCAAAAUACUAAAUUAAUAGCGUUUAGUAAAAUUAGUAAGUGUGUCAAUGUCAUUAAACUUUAACAAUAAUGCUAAAAUAGGUUUGAAUAUAUUAAUUUAUAUCAUAAAGUAACAACAAGCCUGUUUGACGGUAACCCUACUAAAUAAGAACCGAUGUACAGUCACGCUCAAAAAAGUAUGAAAUCAAAUAAAUAUUCCAAUCUCUACUAGAAAUUAUCUUCUUUCUUAUAAUGAACUUAUGGUGAUAUGUGGUCAUAUUAAUUGAAUUCAUACGUUUUUGCGCUUUACUGUACAUUUUUAACGUGCCAGUUGUGUGUUAGUUCGUCUGCCCCAUUUUUGACUGUUAGUAAGUUUGUACUGUAUAAAUAUACUUAAUUGCGAAUGGAUACUUAUUUAAAGUAAGUAUAAAUAUAAUAUUUUCUAAGUA